rnacentral:rRNA from 1 species
AUUGAACGCUGGCGGCAGGCCUAACACAUGCAAGUCGAGCGGAUGAAGGGAGCUUGCUCCUGGAUUCAGCGGCGGACGGGUGAGUAAUGCCUAGGAAUCUGCCUGGUAGUGGGGGAUAACGUCCGGAAACGGGCGCUAAUACCGCAUACGUCCUGAGGGGGAAAGUGGGGGAUCUUCGGACCUCACGCUAUCAGAUGAGCCUAGGUCGGAUUAGCUAGUUGGUGGGGUAAAGGCCUACCAAGGCGACGAUCCGUAACUGGUCUGAGAGGAUGAUCAGUCAAACUGGAACUUGGAACCGGGCCCGAAUCCUAAGGGAGGCAGCAGUGGGGAAUAUUGGACCAUGGGGGAAAGCCUUAUCCAGCCAUGCCGGGUGGUUGAAGAAGGGUCUCGGAUUUGAAAGCACUUUUAGUUGGGAGGAAGGGCAGGUAGGUAAUACCUUGCUGUUUUGACGUUACCAACAGAAUAAGCACCGGCUAACUUCGUG